rnacentral:rRNA from 1 species
AAGCAUAUCAAUAAGCGGAGGAAAAGAAACUAACAAGGAUUCCCUCAGUAACGGCGAGUGAAGAGGGAAGAGCUCAGUUUUGAAAUCUGGCAGUGAUUCACUGUCCGAGUUGUAAAUUGAAGAGAAUGUCAUCCACGCUGGACCACGUCUAAAUUGUAAUGAUCCACAGUCCUUUGAUGGAGUAUCAGAGAGGGUAAUAAUCCCGUCUUUAACGUGGACUGCCAGUGUUUUAUGUGAUGCACUCUCUCAGAGUCGAGUAGUUUGGGAAUGCUGCUCUAAUGGGAGGUAAACUCCUUCUAAAGCUAAAUAUUGGCGAGAGACCGAUAGCGAACAAGUACCGUGAGGGAAAGAUGAAAAGAACUCUGAAAAGAGAGUCAAAUAGAACGUGAAAUUGCUGAAAGGGAAGCGUUUGGAGUCAGACGCGUCUUCAUGCAAUACAACUCAGUGGCAGAGACUUGAGACAAGUUACUUGAAGACGGGCCAGCACUCACGAAGACCAUUGAAGAAGGGAUCAUGGAAUGUAGCUCAGUGCUGAGUGAUUAUAGCCUUGAUUCAGAAGUAAUGUGUCCUUUGUGAGAGAUGGACAGCACGACAUAGUUCAGUGCUUGAUUGACUGGCAUAAUGGCUCUAAGCGACCCGUCUUGAAACACGGACCAAGGAGUCUAACAUGUAUGCGAGUAUUAGAGUGAUUGAAACUCUGAAUGCGCAAUGAAAGUGUUUUUGACUGAGAAUCCUGUUGGAGGCAUCAGUACCCCGAGUCUGUUAGUCUUUGACUAAAGAUUUGGAGGUAGAGCAUAUAUGUUGGGACCCGAAAGAUGGUGAACUAUGCCUGAAUAGGGUGAAGUCAGAGGAAACUCUGAUGGAGGCCCGUAGCGAUUCUGACGUGCAAAUCGAUCGUAGAAUUUGGGUAUAGGGGCGAAAGACUAAUCGAACCAUCUAGUAGCUGGUUCCUGCCGAAGUU